AUCCUGUGUAUAGCACAGUCAGUAGAGCAUGAGAUUCUUUAUCUCAGGGCUGUGAGUUUGAGCCCCACAUUGGGCA